rnacentral:rRNA from 1 species
GACGAACGCUGGCGGCGUGCCUAAUACAUGCAAGUCGAGCGCAGGAAACCAUCUGAACCCUUCGGGGGGACGACGGUGGAAUGAGCGGCGGACGGGUGAGUAACACAUAAAGAACCUGCCCACGGGUCUGGGAUAACCACGAGAAAUCGGGGCUAAUACCGGACGGGUCAUCGGACCGCAUGGUCCGAGGAUGAAAGGCGCUCCGGCGUCGCCCGUGGAUGGCUUUGCGGUGCAUUAGCUAGUUGGUGGGGUAACGGCCAACCAAGGCGACGAUGCAUGGCCGACCUGAGAGGGUGAUCGGCCACACUGGGACUGAGACACGGCCCAGACUCCUACGGGAGGCAGCAGUAGGGAAUCUUCCACAAUGGACGAAAGUCUGAUGGAGCAACGACGCGUGAACGAUGAAGGCCCUCGGGUCGUAAAGUUCUGUUGUAAGGGAAGAACAAGUGCCGCAGGCAAUGGCGGCACCUUGACGGUACCUUGCGAGAAAGCCACGGCUAACUACGUGCCAGCCGCCGCCGUAA